GUAGUCCACGCCGUAAACGAUGCGCACUAGACCGGUGCGGCUCUGACGCCGUAUCGGUCGCAGUAAAAACGCUAAGUGCGCCGCCUGGGGAGUACGGUCGCAAGGCUAAAACUCAAAGGAAUUGACGGGGGCUCACACAAGCGGUGGAGCAUGUUGCUUAAUUCGAGGCAACGCGAAGAACCUUACCUAGUCUUGACAUGCUUGGAUUAACUCCCGGAAACGGGAGCCACACCCGCAAGGGUGGAACAAGCACAGGUGCUGCAUGGCUGUCGUCAGCUCGUGCUGUGAAGUGUCGGGUUAAGUCCCUUAACGAGCGCAACCCCUGUCGCUAGUUGCUCACGGGUCAUGCCGAGUACUCUAGCGAGACUGCCGGUGUCAAACCGGA
rnacentral:rRNA from 1 species